GGGAGUUUCAGUUACCAUGGGAUUUUUUUUAAGGAUUUGCAAUUGGUUUGUAGGUUCAAUCUGUCAUGUUUGUUUCAUAUUAGCUGUAUUUACAUGAAAUAUCAACCAGAGUAGUUCUAUGUAAGAGGUUGUCAUCCAGGAGAAGUUGAAUCCAUGGGAAGGUUGUGGAUCAUUUGCAAUCUGUUUGGUUGGAGGGGAGGAAAUUGAAAACAAAGAAAUGAGUAAUAAUGAAGGAAAGGAUUGAGAAAGGAAAAAUAGCUGCCAUUCCUUUGAAUUGUUUGGUAACUAUACUUUCCUUUUAGUCAUUUAUUUUCCUCAUCCUU
rnacentral:misc_RNA from 1 species